rnacentral:rRNA from 1 species
GAUGAACGCUGGCGGCGUGCCUAAUACAUGCCAGUCGAGCGAACAGACGAGGAGCUUGCUCCUCUGACGUUAGCGGCGGACGGGUGAGUAACACGUGGAUAACCUACCUAUAAGACUGGGAUAACUUCGGGAAACCGGAGCUAAUACCGGAUAAUAUAUUGAACCGCAUGGUUCAAUAGUGAAAGACGGUUUUGCUGUCACUUAUAGAUGGAUCCGCGCCGCAUUAUCUAGUUGGUAAGGUAGCGGCUUACCAAGGCAACGAUGCGUAGCCGACCUGAGAGGGUGAUCGGCCACACUGGAACUGAGACACGGUACAGACUCCUACGGGAGGCAGCAGUCGGGAAUCUUCCGCAAUGGGCGAAAGCCUGACGGAGCAACGCCCCGUGAGUGAUGAAGGUCUUCGGAUCGUAAAACUCUGUUAUUAGGGAAGAACAAAUGUGUAAGUAACUAUGCACGUCUUGACGGUACCUAAUCAGAAAGCCACGGCUAACUACGUG